rnacentral:rRNA from 1 species
CAGUAGGGAAUCUUCCACAAUGGGCGAAAGCCUGAUGGAGCAACGCCGCGUGAGUGAAGAAGGUUUUCGGAUCGUAAAACUCUGUUGUAAGGGAAGAACAAGUACAGUAGUAACUGGCUGUACCUUGACGGUACCUUAUUAGAAAGCCACGGCUAACUACGUGCCAGCAGCCGCGGUAAUACGUAGGUGGCAAGCGUUGUCCGGAAUUAUUGGGCGUAAAGCGCGCGCAGGCGGUCCUUUAAGUCUGAUGUGAAAGCCCACGGCUCAACCGUGGAGGGUCAUUGGAAACUGGGGGACUUGAGUGCAGAAGAGGAAAGUGGAAUUCCAAGUGUAGCGGUGAAAUGCGUAGAGAUUUGGAGGAACACCAGUGGCGAAGGCGACUUUCUGGUCUGUAACUGACGCUGAGGCGCGAAAGCGUGGGGAGCAAACAGGAUUAGAUACCCUGGUAGUCCACGCCGUAAACGAUGAGUGCUAAGUGUUAGGGGGUUUCCGCCCCUUAGUGCUGCAGCUAACGCAUUAAGCACUCCGC